AUGGACUUUUCUCCAGGCUUCGUGGCUGCGCUGAUUCUCAUACUAGGAAGGACCCAUGGAGACUCAGUGACUCAAACAGGAGGCCAAGUGACCAUCUCAGAAGGCAAGUUCCUGACAAUAAAUUGCACGUAUUCAACCACAAGUAUAGCAUAUGCUGUUCUUUCCUGGUAUGUCCGAUAUCCUGGAGAAGGCCCCCAGCUCCUCCUGAAAGUCAUCACAGCUGGCGAGAAGGGAAGCAGCAGAGGGUUUGAAGCCACAUAUGAUAGAGGAACCACCUCCUUCCACUUGCAGAAAGCCUCAGUACAGGAGUCAGACUCGGCUGUGUACUACUGUGCUCUGGGUGGCACAGUGGCAGACACUGCCGGGGGAGCUGUACAACUUACAGUAAGACCAGAAAUUUCCUCACCAAAACCUGCUCCUUGGAGGCUUCAGGGAGGCAGAGGUGAUAGAGAAGUCUUUCUAACACUGUAUUGGGGAACUGAAUUUCGCUUUUGGGGUUAUUAG